CAACAGAAGAAGCACCGGCUAACUCCGUGCCAGCAGCCGCGGUAAUACGGAGGGUGCGAGCGUUAAUCGGAAUUACUGGGCGUAAAGCGCACGCAGGCGGUUUGUUAAGCUAGAUGUGAAAGCCCCGAGCUCAACUUGGGAUGGUCAUUUAGAACUGGCAGACUAGAGUCUUGGAGAGGGGAGUGGAAUUUCUAGUGUAGCGGUGAAAUGCGUAGAUAUUAGAAGGAACAUCAGUGGCGAAGGCGACUCCCUGGCCAAAGACUGACGCUCAUGUGCGAAAGUGUGGGUAGCGAACAGGAUUAGAUACCCUGGUAGUCCACACCGUAAACGCUGUCUACUAGCUGUUUGUGAGUUUAACUCGUGAGUAGCGAAGCUAGCGCGCUAAGUAGACCGCCUGGGGAGUACGGCCGCAAGGUUUAAACUCAAAUGAAUUGACGGGG
rnacentral:rRNA from 1 species